rnacentral:rRNA from 1 species
UACGUAGGGUGCGAGCGUUGUCCGGAAUUAUUGGGCGUAAAGGGCUCGUAGGCGGUCUGUCACGUCGGGAGUGAAAACUCAGGGCUUAACCCUGAGCCUGCUUCCGAUACGGGCAGACUAGAGGUAUGCAGGGGGGAACGGAAUUCCUGGUGUAGCGGUGAAAUGCGCAGAUAUCAGGAGGAACACCGGUGGCGAAGGCGGUUCUCUGGGCAUUACCUGACGCUGAGGAGCGAAAGUGUGGGGAGCGAACAGG